rnacentral:rRNA from 1 species
CGGUGGAUCACUCGGCUCGUGCGUCGAUGAAGAACGCAGCUAGCUGCGAGAACUAAUGUGAAUUGCAGGACACAUUGAUCAUCGACACUUCGAACGCACUUUGCGGCCCCGGGUUCCUCCCGGGGCCACGCCUGUCUGAGGGUCGCUUUCUCAUCGAUCGGGGCCUCCGGGUCCCGCGGCUGGAGCUUCGUAGGAGGGACUCUACCCUCCUCCGUCCUCCUAAGUGCAGACCGCCCCCGGGUCGCCUCCCGCCCGGCCUCACGGGCCCUCGCCCUUCCGGGGCGGCGCCUCGUCCGCUCGAGGACCGGAGGUCCUCCCCUCCGCGGCUGCCGGUGGGUCUGAACCCCCUCCGCUGCCCGCGCGACGGGGGCCUCCAACUCUCACCGCGGGCGGACGCUGUCUCCGUGUAGGGCGGGUCGCCUUUGGGUAUCCGGAGCGUGCGGGGGGGGCCCGACGGGCGAACCCGCUCGCUUAAGGCCAGCCUCCACUCCCCGGAGCGGAGCGGCCGCCACGACCCCAUCCGAUUACGACCUCAGGUCAGGCGAGAAAACCCGAGCCCAACAGAGCGGACUGGA